rnacentral:tRNA from 1 species
AGGGUUGUGGCUCAGUGGUAGAGUGCUCACCUUGUACGUGAGAGACUCUGGGUUUGAUCUUCAACACCA